rnacentral:rRNA from 1 species
GACGAACGCUGGCGGCGUGCCUAAUACAUGCAAGUAGAACGCUGAAGGAGGAGCUUGCUUCUCUGGAUGAGUUGCGAACGGGUGAGUAACGCGUAGGUAACCUGCCUGGUAGCGGGGGAUAACUAUUGGAAACGAUAGCUAAUACCGCAUAAUAGUAGAUGUUGCAUGACAUUUGCUUAAAAGGUGCAAUUGCAUCACUACCAGAUGGACCUGCGUUGUAUUAGCUAGUUGGUGGGGUAACGGCUCACCAAGGCGACGAUACAUAGCCGACCUGAGAGGGUGGUCGGCCACACUGGGACUGGGACACGGCCCAGACUCCUACGGGGAGCAGCAAUAGGGAAUCUUCGGGAAUGGGCGGAAGGCUGACCGAGCAACGCCGCGGGAGUGAAGAAGGUUUUCGGGUCGUAAAGCUCGGUUGUAAGGGAAGAACGAGUGUGAGAGUGGAAAGUUCACACUGUGACGGUAUCUUACCAGAAAGAGACGGCUAACUACGUG